GCCAAAAACACUAAGGAAAAAUAAGAGAGAGUUCGGCCAAGGCAAGGAAAACAUAACUUCUUGAAAUUUCAUCCCAAAAAUUACUUUCUCUUAGUAUUCCUACUAUAUCAAGGGUCCUUUAUAACAUGGUAAACUUAUUUUGGAAGAUAGAAGGCUUGUUUGGUUGAUUUGAAGCUUUGGUAAAGUGAAGAAGUUGGAAGGAAAAGAUUUUGGAGGAAACGGGAAUUGAACUUGGACAACCGUAAAAGGCCAAAAAGUUUCUCACUACUCCACUCGUGGAUGCCUCAAUGCUUCUUUCACUGAGCCUGGGCCAGGAUAUGUUUUCGUGCGUAUUUCUCUGCAUUGUUCGCCGUGUCCCGACGUGAGGGGGCAGGUAUGACAUGUACAUGGGGUGGUAAAUGUUAUGCCACGGAGUUAUGCUGUGCCAUGUACAUAUAUGUUUAUGAUAUGAUAUGAUUUGAUAUGGCCAUCUGAUAUGAUAUGAUUUGUUACGGAGAUAUUCCCUACUCUGGUGUUAUGAUGUGCCGUGGUGCCGAUGAUGGGA